AUUGGAUCGCUCUUAUUUGGCCCUGGAUAGUCGCUUCCCAGAGAUCCACUGCUCCCUGACAGAAUGCAGGCUUCCAGUCUCUUACUUCAAAUGGAUUAUUACUCCCAGAUAGAAAAGCUCAUCUACUGGCAAGAUUUGUCACAUGGUUUUCUGCAGCACAGGCAGAGACAUGAGUUACUGUUUUCAGAAAUAAUGGAGGAAGAGUACCAUGUUCAGUGUUUCGUGGUGUUCCUGCUGUGCUUUAUUUUGGGUGAGUCUAGCAGCUUUUCAGAAGCCCUGCUCUGUAGGAGAUUUCCUCUGUUCCUUUGUUUAAAGUUGGGGAUCCCAAACUGACCUAUACUGCCUUUCAUAAAGCCUGUUAAGGCAAAAGAUGACGAAGCCUGCGUGGAAAAUGCACACAUGAGCCACAUAUGCACUUACACAUGCUACUUGGCAAUCAGAUCCGCAUAUGCUGGCUACCUCCUCAGUCACGGGACUCGGUACGCCUAUGCAUAUAGCCAGAUGUAUUUCUGCUGUGUGAGCAAAUGUACAUCAGCCACAGGUGUUUCCCGGAGAGGAGAGAGGGCAGCUCAGACGGGCCUGUGUGUCCCCAGGGGGAUCCCUGCAGCCUGGCCAGCUCCCGUUGCCUGGCCGCGGCGGGUGCCCACGGGGUGCCCUGCCGCUCAGCACUGAAGACUAGAGGCUGCGACUGCAGGAGGGUGUUUCCUGGCUGCCCAGGCCUCGUUGCACCACGGCCCCUCCUGUUUGUUCAAGCUUCUGCUCCGCUCACGUUGCACCCGUCGUCUUCUCUGCAAGGUAACGUGCUGCUCUCGCACACGGUGCAGGUGUGAGCAUGCUGGUAGCGACCUCCUGUGCCGAUCUCCCGCUUCUUCUGCCCAAGCACCACCAGCACUGCAGCCCUCUGUCAACGAACACAGCAAACCUCUGGCUGCAAAGCCAAGCACUUCACGUGGUACCUUAACACAAGGUUACCGGAUGAGUAGAGUUUCACUGCUAAAGAACUAAGUUCAAGUUCUGCUUUGGGUCAUGAAAGGAAUUAUGUUUAAAGAUUUUUAAUCCCUUGGGAAGCUUUCCAGUCCCUGCGGAUAUCUCUGCUUAAUCACACCCUCAAUCCAGUACAGGGUCAUUCUUGCUCAAGAUACAGCUUGUUCAGGAACUUUCAUGGAUUUUUGUUCACUUGCUUGCUUUUAAAGUGAGACUAUUUUCCCAUUUAAUUUGGGGUUGCUUGUGAAAAGUGUCUCUUUUUGGAUAGGAUUCUUUUUUUAUUAUUAUUUUUUUCCAUGGCAAAACUGAACAUCCUUCCAUCUGGCAGGACAUCACAUCAUCUCCAGAAAAUGUAACUUAGAGAGAGAGUAAGGUGUGCAAAGGAGUUAUGGGAGCAUGAGGUGCCUAAGCCACAAUUGUCAUAAUACACUCAGAGAAAUUUCCAAAUUAAAAUAGUUCGGACCUUGCUUUUUCCAAGAAAUGCCAUUUUUUUCCUAGUGGAAGGACAGAGGAACAUAUCUGGGUCUGAUGUAGCUAACUCUUUGCUUGCCUAUGCAUGUCAGCUGUACUCUGAGGUACAAUUAUGCUUUGAAAGAGGAGUUCACCCAGAUAUGCAGGAAUGACAAAUGCAUCUAUCCCUGCCUGCACCUUUACAUUUCAGUUUCAAUCUCAACAAGCCAACAUAUAUAAUACAAUAGGAAUAUAAUUUGUCCUGCUCCAAUACCAGCAUUUGAUUACAUAUUACUGGCUUGUUAGGAAAUCUGGUAAUCCGUCUAAAGUUUUAGGCAAGGGACAUAUUUUUUAAGCAAAUACAGAGUGUUCAAAUGUUGCCAGCAAUAACAAUCUGUAAACUACAGAUGAGGUGAACUGAAUGAGCAGCACGUUAUCUCUCUGAAUGUUUAAAUUUUUGCACAUUUUGGCAACCUCCUUAAAGAAAGCAAGAGCUGGACUGUCAGCACUGAUUUCAGCUUUGCAGCGCUAUGGCUUUCUAUUUAUAAUAGACAUGAAAGAGGUCCUGAAGGCGGCAUGUCUUGUCAGCAAAUUAAAAAUUCACUCAUGUCUGCAGUGUUUGCUUUAAUUUAAAUAUUUGUCAUGGUUAAUGAAAGAUAGCCUGAGAAAGGGGGAGCAAAGCAAGUUUCCCAGGUCCCAUCAGUUUGUUCAUGCCGCCUUCCCAUUUGUGGUCAAAAAUAGAGUCUUGUACAAAUGGUUAUGAAGCUCUGUGGAUGGUGAAGUGGGCAAUGGUCUGUGGCUAAGGGGAUUUGACUUCAUGCAGUUAUCCAGGAGCCUUGGAUAUUAAUAUGGAAAGUACCUGGCCUAUCUUAUUUAUAGCAACUGUUAAAAUGUAAAGGAAAGUGCCUAACUUGAAUGUACUGCUUCUGUGCUGAGACAGUUUCCUAAAGUCAUCUUUAUGUGGCUAGAGAAACAUGCACAGGGCAAAGAAACUCUCACCCAUAUUUCCAGUUCCAAAACUGCCCAUGGUUUCCUAUUGCAGCAAGUGUGUCAUUGUAAAUAAAAACCAGACAUGCUCAUAUCACUUAAUAAGCAUUACAGGCUUCUCUUACUUCAAUUCACAAUGUGUAACUUUGGGCAAAAUUCAGACUCUCCAGUGGCUGCUGAUUAAUUUGUUUUCUUAUACUUUCCUGAGAUCUGGAUUGGCACCAAAGCCCAAAAGGGAAGAAUCUAGCUGUCAAAAAGUGAAUGUCUAUAAUGAGCAUAAGGUGUGGACAGAAACCACAUAGUUGUCACACAGCAGCUAUGACAUGAAAGAUGCUAUUGUUUCUAUACCAUUUCCCAUAAGGGAGAGAGAUAUUUUGGGAGGACAGAAGACUGUGAUUAAGGCAGACGGCUACAUGGAAAACUGUCAUUGUAUGCUCCACAUACUGAAAUGGAGGAGUGUGCAGGAACAAGGCUGUUAGAAAUAUUUAAAAAAAUAUUAAGUUCAUGGAUGAGUAACAAAAAUAUCUAAGCAUUAAUUAAACACUGCUAAUCUGUGCAGCCUUGUCCAGCAGGGAACACAGGAUUCAGAGCAGGGAAGCUGAAGUUUUCUUCUCGAGUCUGCUACUGAUUUCUCAUUUUCCACUGAUUUCAUGCACUUUGGAUCAGCUCUGUGCACCUCAGUCUCCUCAUCUCUAAAAUUUUGCUAUUUGCUAGCAUAAGUCCCAGAUCAUUGUCAGAUAUUGGCUGUAAGUUAUAUUAGGACACUGGAGUGAACAGUUACAGAAGUGUGAGGUGUUAGUUAAUCAUUAUUGGUUUUAUUGGUUUUAUGCACCUGGCCCUUUAGCGAGGGAAAACGGACUCCCUCUGCCUGUGCACUGGUGCCAGGCUCCCUCAGGCAAUAUAAUCUGUUGAAAUACCUUGGAAAUGAACUCUAGAGUAGCCACUCUUAAAUUAGUCUUAAUGCAGUUCAAUGACCAUACAGAGUAAUCCUAAAGCACAGCAUCUCUUUCCAUACAACACUGCACCAUGUGUGCCUGUAUCUCAAGCAAAUACUUAAUGCUGCUUUUAGUUAUUACGUAUGGUGAACUCUACCUGGUUGCUCUUGCAACAUCUUAUUUUCCCUGUAACACUUUAGGGAAUCUGUGACAUCCUCAGAAGUACCCUUGAAAAGGUUCAAGAGAAGGAGGUAAAUCUAUGCUUUAAAUAUGUUGCAUCAUCAGAAAUGACUUGAAUGGUGAAGCAAGGGAAGAGACUGUGCAAGUGACUAGUAGAUGGCAAAGGAUAAAAAAUAGGAGGCUGAUACAUGUCUCAUUUGGUGACUGCAAGUCCCCUGCCUGCUUUCUGAGCAGAGGGCUAUAUUGUUCGUUAAGCCUUAUGAACCUUAGCAAGGCAAGCACAGAAACCAACAGCUCAAAUGUUCUUGCAGCCACUGGAGUCACAGGGAGGUAGUAAUGGUCAUUCACAAACAGAUUUUUCUCUUUCCCGUUACGUAGCUGCAGAUAUACCAAGCUGUACUCUCUAGGCCUGCACCAGCAGUAGAGAGACAGCCCUUCCUCAGGAUACAGUGGGAGGUGUGGGGGCUGCCUCCUGCUCUUUUUUAGCAAGAGAACAUCUCUACAGCUCCCCAUACCACCUUCUGCAAAAUGACAACCAACAUAUGACUUGGGUUUGAAAUCCUUGCAGCUGAUGGAAAAACAAUUAAGAUCUCAUUAAAAUUCUAUGUAGAGAGCCAAGAAAAGGAAGAUAAUGUCAGAGGAAAGGUGAUACGUAGGACAGUAUGGAGAAUUCUCUUAAGUUAAGCCUGUCAUUAGGCAGGAGCACGGAAGGUGCUAAUUGUACAGUGCAUUUCAUUCAUCCCACAAAGAAUAAUUAACGCUUUCCCUUCUGCCUUUCCUUUCACUGACAUAAAUGGGUUCAAUGCAUAUGCUCUCAGGCAGGAGUUGUCCUCUCCUGGAUUCAUACGUUCAGGACAAUUUUACUGCUGGAUUUCUUCAUCUGUUGACUGUUGAACAGGAAUUAUUAGUCAGAUGAAUAAAUGAUGAUUUCAUUAA